AACGAACGCUGGCGGCAUGCCUAACACAUGCAAGUCGAACGAGACCUUCGGGUCUAGUGGCGCACGGGUGCGUAACGCGUGGAAACCUGCCCUUAGGUUCGGAAUAACUCCCCGAAAGGGGUGCUAAUACCGGAUAAUGUCUUCGGACCAAAGAUUUAUCGCCUUUGGAUGGGCCCGCGUUGGAUUAGUUAGUUGGUAGGGUAAAAGCCUACCAAGGCGACGCUCCAUAGCUGGUCUGAGAGGAUGAUCAGCCACACUGGGACUGAGACACGGCCCAGACUACUACGGGAGGAAGCAGUGGGGAAGAUUGGACAAUGGGCGAAAGCCUGAUCCAGCAAUGCCGCGUGAGUGAUGAAGGCCUUAGGGUUGUAAAGCUCUUUUACCCGGGAUGAUAAUGACAGUACCGGGAGAAUAAGCUCCGGCUAACUCCGUG
rnacentral:rRNA from 1 species